GGCGCCGGACAGGACGGCCGCCGUGGCGGACGAGAGGAGGCGCUGCAGGAGCGGGUCCCGAAGGAGGGCACCGGCGGCGCCAGUGGAGUCCUGCUGGUGGCUUCCUUUCGUCUCCCCACGGCGGCAAUCACCGAGCGCACGGAGGCGGGUGGCGGCACAGAGAGUGGUGGCGACGUGCGCGCAGCCUUGAGGAGCUCAGACGGUGAGGCUUGACGAGGAGGGGAGGAGCAGCGCUGUUCGUCGAGUCCUGGCGGCCAUGGAAAAGAUGAAGGAGGCGUGGAGUUGUCACGGAUGGAGCGUCGGCCGUCGCCGUCGACCGGUUCAGGCAAGUCGAUCCCCUCUGUUCUCCUCUCGAUCUCUCUCUCGUUGUGCACUCAGAGUCUGUUGAUGAUGAUUUGUUGCUCCUUUUGCAGCUUUGACAUGGAUUUAAGUCUAGAUCUUGUUGAGGUGAAAAUAUCUUCCCAGCCAGCCUCAGCAACUCGUGCACCCUGCAGCAAGACUGCUGGAGCUGCUGGCGAGCUUGACGGCCAGGAUCCGGUGGCCGGAGGCGCUCGGCGAAGGGCGCCGCCUGUGGUGCACGGGGACAGGGAGGGCGCCUCCGGUGGUGCACGGGGCCAUGGCGGCAAUGCAGUGUUGACCAUGGACGUGGUGCCCACGCGGCAGGAGGAUCACAUGGCCAGGGUAGCUGAUCUGCUGUCUCUCCCAUGGCCGAGGGAAGCUGCUUCGGGAGAGAGAAAGUCUCAAACUGUCCCUGUACACCUAUUUACAGAUUUGUGGUGUGCCCUGGUUUGAACCGAGAUUGGUUUAUUUUGGGUACAGAGAAUGCUGCAUUGGCAAAGAGCAAGGGCGAGAAGGCUGAGUUCAUCAGCCUGAUAUGGCGCUACCUCUGUGGGGAGGCAGAGCAUAUGGAGUGUUGUAAUAUUUCCAUACCGCAAUGAUGAGAUGGUGAUUCUAGACGAAUCCUCUAACUGGUUGAUUGGGUCACACAUACAUGUCAAAGUUGUGGACACUGUAGUGCUUGGUGGAACUGGCUGCAAAAAUGUGUCCCCUAAUAUUUUUUGUGGCCUGCAAUGUGGAUUGAGGUAUAUGCCGAUGAGAUUGGACCAGGGGGAUGCUAUCAGGCAGGCGUCUAUUUCUUAGAUGAUCUGGCUUAUAAAAUUAUGUUACUGAAGAAUAUUGGUGAAGAACUAUGAAGAUGCACCCUAUGUUGGCUUAUUUGGUUUGCCUCGGAUAAACGAGCACCAUUCUCACCUUUGAGAGCUGCAGCAGCCGUCCACAGAUGACACUUAUUUCCGAAAACAGUUUUGGUGUUCCAUCUUCUCCAAGCAAAGCCACAUGCCUUGGACCUGCUCCGCUCUAAUUUGGUAAUAGACGGCGGUUGGCAAGAGAGCACGUUAGGAUGGGGCAAAGGAGGGGCACUGGCUUACCAAAGAUAUGGAUGGUCUGGAUUUAGAAUGCCAAAAUCCUAAUUUUCUGUUUAACCCAUUUGCCUUAUUUAUAUGUAUUCUUUAGCUUCCCAGUUAUAUUAUCUAUUUAGCUUAGAUGCCAUCAGAGUAUUUGUUAAUUAUGGUCAAAGUGUUAUUUGUUAAGCGCUCCACCGUCUUUCUG